GUAGCCAAAGCGAGACAAACAAGGAAAAACACCAACCAAUGAAAAACAAAUAUAGUUUGGGUCUUUGGGUUUCAGAAUUACCAAGUUAAAUAACAGUUUUAACGCUUCAAAUACGUUUAUUGACCAACAGCCAGUACUGGAAUACGAACGACAUAUAAUUAUAUGUUUUUGUAUGUGGUUACCAUAUAUAAUAUACAACAGUCGUUACACUUGUAAUGCAUGUGUCAAAGGUGCCUGCUAUAUUACGUAGGACUGUAGUGCUGACCAAAAAACGACCGAAAAAGUAGCUGGUGAAUGUAAACGUUCUCCCUAAAAUAAGGGACUAAUGAGGUUCUGGACAUCGACUGUUAGCUGGGAAAGCUGGCCAGAGAAAAGCUAGAUGGUCGAAGCAAACGAUGUACUUACCAAAACAAUGGAAUUAUUGAGAAUCCAGACUUCAGGAUGACAUUCACUGUAUUCAAGGUUAGCAACACCCCAGAGUCAGGAGGACCUCCCACCCCUUCAGCAGGCAUCGCUGGAGCUCUGAUGGAAGUGAUGCAGAAGAGGAGCAAAGCCAUCCACUCUUCAGAUGAUGAUGAUGAUGAUGACUUUGAGGAUGAUGAUGAGUGGGAUGACUAAUGACCCCCAGCCCCUGUCUCUUGGAUGAUUUGACAACACUUAAUUGUUCUUAAAUUGUCUUUCAAAAUCAUAUUUGAAUUAUUAUGUUUGUUGCUUCAUGAUGUAUAUUGUUGCUUCAUGAUGUAUAUUUUUGUUGCCUUUAUGCUUUUUUCCAUUAAUCUGUGCAAUAUGUAAUUUAAUCUGUAAAGGUUUUUAUCAUAUUUCUGUAAGUUUUUCUUUUCUCUGUUGUGGGUUAUCUAGUUUUUCUUGAUGUAUAGUUUUUUUUUGUAAGAGGGGGGUACAAUGAUUAGAACAAAGAAACACUAUUUUCAUUCCGUUACUUCUCAUACAUAGUUAUUUUUACUUAUUUACUUAAGGAAUCAGCUCUUUUGGAAUAUCUAGCCCCACUCGUCGUCAGUUGUAAAUAUACAGAUUUUGAGUGUUUUUGCAUAAAAUCAAAAAGACUCACUAAGUUAAUACAGAGCAGUAGGGAUCUGCAUAAUUUUGCAUUAAAUUACCAGAUAUCACUUAAAUGAUCCAAAGAUGACAACCCUUACCCUGUCUUUAUAGUCCCACUGUGAACUACAACAGUUAUUACAGAAACAUGUUGGUUUUGGCUUCCCCUUGGGUUUGAACUCACAACGAUUGGAGUCAAAGUUGGUAGUUUUUACACUUAGCCAUCAACUUCAGCCAUAAUACCUUCACACACCACUUGUCUAUACAUAACAGUGUGUAUAUCAUGUAAAUUCUUAGGGAAUAGAGUGACUCUAUCUGGGCAGAAGAACCACAGUGGUUUCAUGGCUAAAGAUGCAGGCUUUGGCUCCAAUGGUUGUGAGUUCAAAUCCAAGGGGAGACUUGCAAAACCUGCAGAUUGGAUUUGAAGUCUGUACCUUUACCUGUGAGACUGCUUUGGAUGCUCUAUUGAAAAUGUGCCAGUCUUUAGAAAAGUACAUGUGAUAUGUGUGCACUGUUAUCUAUAGAUAGACAACUGGGCAAAAACUGCAGCCUCUGAGUCCAAUGGUUUUGAGUUUGAAUCCAAUGUGGGGUGGUUGGUUUACUGUCUUGGUGACUGAGGUGGUUGGCAUGGCAGCUGGCCAACACCUUCCUGCUGUCUUGGCUGACAUGCACCCCCAGGGGGAUGGGUGUUGGUGGGUGGGUGGCCUACUGUCUUGGCUGACCAUGUGUGAGGGUGGCUUCCCACUGUCUUCCUGGUGCUGGCAGCCAGAUGGUGUUGGGCAGGUGGUCCAGGUGUCUUGCCAGCACACUCCCACUGUCUUGACUGCCUCACCUACAACAUCAGGCACCAAGACAGUAGCCAGCUGGCAAGUCAAUUGCCAACCACCCCACAUUGGAUUUGAACUCUCAACCAUUUGGACUUAGAGUCUGCAGUUUUCACACCAAGCCACCAACUUCAGCCUCAAUUGUCUGACACACCAGUGUUCUAUUUAUACAUAACAGUGCACAACAUUGCCCCUAGUGGUCAUAUCACAUAUCAAUUCUUAUCACAUGUACAUUUUUAAAGACAGGCACAGUUUCAGUAGAGCAUCCAAGGUGGUCUCAUGGGUAAAGCUGCAGAG